CUAUAUGCGGAAAAUUAUAAUUUUCCGCAUUUCGCGGAUCGUUUCGCAACCUGAUUCCUGGCGACUCAGUCUCUGAUAUCGAAUCUGAGUUCUCGCUGCUGCAGAUUGUUAUAAGGACGCACGGGAUGAGAACACGCCCAAGUUCUGGAUAAAACUGCGACGCAUGGAAAACAGCAUUGGGAAAAAGAUGUUCCCGAAUCUGUCGGGGUUCGCUAUCGGCCUGCUCAGCGUCCCGAUCUCCAAUGCUGUCGUAGAAAGAGUAUUUAGUCAGGUUACUGUUAUGAAAACAGACCUGAGGAACCGUUUGUCUUUGACCACCCUCGAGACCCUCCUGUGGCUGUGCCGAUUUCAAGCCGUCAGACAACCUCCUAAAGAAGUUCACGAGCGACGUGCUUUAUGGAGAAAGUCAAUGGGAAGAAACUGCGGACGAGGAUCCUGAAGACCCGGGAAACAACUCCGACGAAUGUCCUUAGCAGUCUACAAUUGACUGGAGCUUGAAUUUUUCAUAUUUUCCUUCGUUCUAAUCGCAUCAUUUCACGAAUAAUAAAUGCCUGUCAUUCAUUCAAUGCACGGCUGUCGUUUCUGCGUCAGCAGUCAAACCGAAACGGAUAACAAGGAAGGACAAGGAGCGCCUCCCGCAGCAUGUGUAGCAUGCACAAACACGUCGGGCGCUUUUGGCUAUUUUUUUGGCUAGAAGGUACUGGCGUACUGGCUAUAUUUUGGCUACAGGUGGCCGGAAAACGGGCUAUACAAGGCCUUCGCCAUCUGGCAACCCUGCGCGUCGCAGCAAGUUGGUUUUCUCUUCAGUAACCGUCGCAAGGAUGGUGAUGGUGUAUCUCCUGUGCAGUAUUUACGUGUGUUUCAGUGCGCUUUGUAAGACAAUGCGAUGACAAUGGUUCCUGUGCAACACAUUGUCGAUUUCCCGGAAGCGUUUUGACGCCAAGAAGACGUAAACGGCGUAGAGGCAAGACCGCACUGUGAAACGCCAAUCGGACUGCACGUCGCGAAUGUUUGCAGAAACUUCGGAGGAACUUGAAGAGAAACAGGAUAAGAAGAUUCCGAACGUACGGUGAAGAGGAAUGGGGUGUAUGUCGCGACCUGCAUAGAAAACAGGAGUGUCGUGUCAUCUUCUCUAAGAAAAUACAAGAUGUGAGGUGGCCAACGAACGAAAGCUCCCUGUGGUCCGUGAGUGCAUCGCACAGUCAGGCAUAUGCUUUGUCUAGACACAGUGAGUGAUCAGACUUAUACUGCGUGGGAUGUAAAUGUAGAGAUGUAUUGAUUAUUUCUUUCUGCUCAGUGUAUGCUUUUAGCAGAAUAAACGGUAAUUACUUGA